CAUGUCAGGAGGCUCCAUAGGUGAUGGAAACUGCUGUACUGAGCAGACUCCUUGAGUGUUACCUGAGUGGGUGAGAUACUACAUCAAAGUCUCACAGAGGACAGUCCAAAGAAUGCUAGUUUUAACACUCUGCAGAGGCUGAUCUUCCAUUGUGGUGGUAGCAUGCAGAAAUAUUUCUUCCCUUCAAUUUACUGCCUAGAAGGCCAAAUAAACAGGACCGCAUGGAUAUAAAGAGGUCGUGAGCUUUAAUCAAAUGCAAACAACAGGACAGUAGCAGAAUUCUAAGAAAAUCCCUUUCUUCUACUCCAUUACCUGUUGGAUUAGCUGUCAGCUCAUGUCUGUACUGCCAAACCCAGCCUUAAUUUCUCUGUUAUUUCACCCAAACAGCAAUGUAGAAAGCUCUCUUGAUAUGACAGCUGCAGGAAAACUCUGUCAUGCUCACCCCACUUUUCUAUUUACUUAUCAGAGAAAAUUCCCUCCUAACUGGUUUUCCUUUUGUUCCUAUCUGCUUUUCUUUUGUGGAAGAGCUGGUUUUCCUGCAGAAAGUCUACAACUUUUACAGCAGUUCUGAU
rnacentral:lncRNA from 1 species